UACGUAGGGUGCAAGCGUUAAUCGGAAUUACUGGGCGUAAAGCGUGCGCAGGCGGUUUUGUAAGUUUGUCGUGAAAGCCCCGGGCUCAACCUGGGAAUUGCGAUGAAAACUGCAAGGCUUGAAUCUGGCAGAGGGGGGUAGAAUUCCACGUGUAGCAGUGAAAUGCGUAGAGAUGUGGAGGAACACCGAUGGCGAAGGCAGCCCCCUGGGUCAAGAUUGACGCUCAUGCACGAAAGCGUGGGGAGCAAACAGG
rnacentral:rRNA from 1 species